CCAGGAAGCCGUCGAGCCUGCCGCCCAGGCCCCCGAGCAGCCGUAGGGCCUCCUGCACGGCCCCCUCCUCCUGAUGCCACCGGGCGGUCAGUGAGGACACCUCCCUCCUGUAGGCGUAGAGCUGGUGAUGGAAUCUUUGGCGUGGACCAAUCCAUUGUUAACCCAACUCUGGGGAAGAACGGGAGACAGGGGACACGGGUUCGAGCCCUGGUCUGGGAAGAUCCCACAUGCUGCGGAGCAACUGGGCCGGUGAGCCACAACUACUGAGCCUGCACGUCUGGAGCUUGUGCUCUGCAACAAAAGAGGCCGCAACAGUGAGAGGCCCGUGCACCACGAUGAAGAGUGGCCCCUGCUUGCCGCAACUAGAGAAAGCCCUCGCACAGAAACGAAGACCGAACACAGCCAAAAAUAAAAAUAAAUAAAUUAAAAACCAAAAAAACAAGGAAAACCAGGGGGCAGCCUUGUUUUCUGCUUAGCGGAUGGCAAGAAAAAUAAGUAGGAUCCAGGAGGGAGUU